AUCGAACGCUGGCGGCAGGCCUAACACAUGCAAGUCGAGCGAGCGGCGGACGGGUGAGUAAUGUAUGGGGACUGCCCGAUAGAGGGGGAUAACUACUGGAAACGGUUGCUAAUACCGCAUACUAUCGGAUAACCCAUAUGGGAUUAGCUAGUAGGUGGGGUAAAGGUUGACCUAGGCGACGAUGGCUAGCUGGGCUGAGAGGAUGAUCAGCCACACUGGGACUGUGACACGGCCCAGACUCCUACGGAGGCAGCAGUGGGGAAUGUUGCACAAUGUGCGCAAGCCGGAAACAGCCAUGCCGCGGGUGUGGAGAAGGCCUUAGGGUUGUAAAGGACGUUCAGCGGUGAGGCGUUACCCGCAGAAGAAGCACCGGCUAACUCCGUGCCAGCAGCCGCGGUAAUAC
rnacentral:rRNA from 1 species